GGAAACGUUAGCCAGGAGUAGCCCAGGAGCCCUAGCCGGGAGAUGGGUCUAGCAUGGGCUAGCCCCAGGCUAGUUGGUGCUUUCUCCGGGACGGAAACGUUAGCCAGGAGUAGCCCAGGAGCCCUAGCCAGGAGAUGGGCCUAGCAUGGGCUAGCUCCAGGCUAGUUGGUGCUUUCUCCGGGACGGAAACGUUAGCCAGGAGUAGCCCAGGAGCCCUAGCCAGGAGAUGGGUCUAGCAUGGGCUAGCCCCAGGCUAGUUGGUGCUUUCUCCGGGACGGAAACGUUAGCCAGGAGUAGCCCAGGAGCCGUAGCCAGGAGAUGGGCCUAGCAUGGGCUAGCUCCAGGCUAGUUGGUGCUUUCUCCGGGACGGAAACGUUAGCCAGGAGUAGCCCAGGAGCCCUAGCCGGGAGAUGGG
rnacentral:lncRNA from 1 species